UAGGCGUAAAUGAUGCGAGUUAAGUGUGGGGGCAUCUACGAGAUGGCCCUGUGCUGUAGGGUAGCCGUUAAACUCGCUGCCUGGGGAGUACGGUCGCAAGGCUGAACUUAAGGAUUGGCGGGGGAGCACAACAACGGGUGGAGCCUGCGGUUUAAUCGGACUCAACGCCGGACAACUCACCGGGGACGACAGCAAUAUGUAGGCCAGGCUGAAGACCUUGCCUGAAUCGCUGAGAGGUGGUGCAUGGCGUCAGUGACU
rnacentral:rRNA from 1 species